rnacentral:ncRNA from 1 species
AAAAUGUAACGGAGGCGUUUACAAAGGUAGGCUUAGCUCGGAUGGAAAUCGAGCUGGACGCGCAAACGCACAAGCCUGCUUUACUGCAAGAGCUACAACUCGAGCAGUCGCGAAAGCGGAAGUUAGUGAACCGACCAUCCUUCAUAGGAAGGUGGAAGAUCAACGGAUAAAAGCUACUCCGGGGAUAACAGGCUGAUCUGGCCCGAUAGUCCACAUAGACGGCCAGGUUUGGCACCUCGAUGUCGGCUCAUCGCAUCCUGGGGGUGGAGAAGCUCCCAAGGGUUUGGCUGUUCGCCAAUUAAAGCGGUACGCGAGCGACUCAUAUCGGUGGAACCCUACUAGAUAAUGAACUGGUUUAGAGGGCAAUACCGAGGGAAGAUUAAUGUACUAUGCUAGAGGAACAACGAGCAUAUAUUGCCGGUUUUCUAGACGGCGAUGGUUGCAUCAUGGCGCAGUUAGUAAAACGACGUGGCUAUGUUUAUGGGUAUCAAAUUCGGACGAGCAUCGUUUUUUACCAAAAAACGAGGAAUGAAAGAAUCCUCGACUGGUUAAAGAGCAAGCUUUCUGCAGGAUACAUUAGACGCCGCAACGACGACAUGAGUGAAUAUACCAUCGUUGGAAUGGAAGCGGUAGCAAAGAUAUUGCUUCGACUUUUGCCGCAUUUGCGGUUAAAAAAAGAGUUGACAAAAGCAAUGCUUAAACUGAUUGAGGCGUGGCCAAAAAAUGGCCGGCCAUCAAGAUCAAUUUAUUUAAAACUUUGCCGGCAAGUAGACGCGACGGCGCGCUACAAUUACUCUAAGAAACGGACGAUAACAACGGCUACGGUUGAAAGAUUUCUAGCAAACAUUAAAUCCCCGUAACGACUGAUUGCUGUUUAAGCUCUAAACAGCAUGAUACCGACUAAGUCGGUAACACGUCAGCUCCUCCUCGCUGGCGAGCGAGAGGAUGAAGGUAUAGUCUGUGCCAUUAGUAAUAAUGGAAUUAACACGCGUGAGACAGUUCGGUCUCCUAUCUGUUGCGGGCGUUGAAUAUUGAAAAGGCUCACUCCUAGUACGAGAGGACCGGAGUGGAUAAACCUCUAGUGUGCCAGUUGUUCCAUCAGGGGCAUUGCUGGGUAGCUACGUUUAGCGCGGAUAAACGCUGAAAGCAUCUAAGCGUGAAGCCGUCUUUAAGAUUAAUAUUCGUUCAGACCCCUUGUAGACUACAAGGUUGAUAGGCGUCAGGUGUAAGCAUAGCAAUAUGUUGAGCCGAGACGUACUAAUUGGUCGAGCGUACGACGAG